UAUAUCACUGAGUCUGAGUGUCAUUAUAAUUUGUCAAUUGUCAUCAUUAAUCAUGUCAGUAUGCCUAUGCCUUUAUCUUUAAUCUUUAUGUCAGUAAAUGUUUAUCUGAUUGUUAGCAAUAAUAAAAAAUCCUGAUUUAGAUAAAAUGGAUUCAAAUACAGUUUUUGAAACAAAACGAAUGUGAUUUGAAGAUCCCUAGGAAGAUCAAAUUCCUAGCUUACAUUUGCAUGGUGAGUUCAACAAGUAUUUGUUAUUAGAGAACAAGUAACACAGUUAGUGGUGUAGGGAAGCAAACGAAUGUAACACCAAUUGAAAGUCCUUCAACAAGUAGAGAUGCACACAUGUUUUAAUCAUUUGAGAUACCCUUUUGUAGAAGUAUUUGGAAGAUAACUAUUAAUAAUUUCAUUUGUAAAGAUACGAUUUGUAAAAAAGUAUAUACAAAGUGGUUUUGCUGAUAUUAAAUAAAUAAAUAAAAAUA
rnacentral:lncRNA from 1 species